UACGGAGGAUCCGAGCGUUAUCCGGAUUUAUUGGGUUUAAAGGGUGCGUAGGUGGAUUGGUAAGUCAGUGGUGAAAGUUUGCAGCUUAACUGUAAAAUUGCCGUUGAAACUGCCGGUCUUGAGUGCAAAUGAGGUAGGCGGAAUGCGUCGUGUAGCGGUGAAAUGCUUAGAUAUGACGCAGAACUCCGAUUGCGAAGGCAGCUUACUGGGAUGCAACUGACGCUGAGGCACGAAAGCGUGGGUACCAAACAGGAUUAGAUACCCCCGUAGU
rnacentral:rRNA from 1 species